rnacentral:rRNA from 1 species
GACGAACGCUGGCGGCGUGCUUAACACAUGCAAGUCACGGGGGGCCCGCAAGGGUCAACCGGCGAACGGGUGCGUAACACGUGAGCGACCUGCCCAGUUGCGGGGGGAUAGCCGGCCCAACGGCCGGGUAAUACCGCAUACGUUCCUCUGGGGGCAUCCUUGGGGGAAGAAACCUACGGGGCGAUUGGAGGGGCUCGCGGCCUAUCAGCUAGUUGGCGAGGUAACGGCUCACCAAGGCGAUGACGGGUAGCUGGUCUGAGAGGAUGGCCAGCCACAUUGGGACUGAGAGACGGCCCAGACUCCUACGGGAGGCAGCAGUGGGGAAUCUUGCGCAAUGGCCGAAAGGCUGACGCAGCGACGCCGCGUGGAGGAUGACGCCCUUCGGGGUGUAAACUCCU